UACGUAGGGAGCGAGCGUUGUCCGGAAUCAUUGGGCGUAAAGAGCUCGUAGGCGGCUUGUCGCGUCGGCUGUGAAAACCUGGGGCUCAACCCCGGGCCCUGCAGCCGAUACGGGCAAGCGUAGAAUUCGGUAGGGGAGACUGGAAUUCCUGGAUGUGAGCGGUGAAAUGCGCAGAUAUCAGGAGGGAACACCGGCGGCGAAGGCGGGUCUCUGGGCCAUAACUGACGCUGGAGGAGCGAAAGCGUGGGGAGCGAACAGG
rnacentral:rRNA from 1 species